rnacentral:rRNA from 1 species
ACAGCUCAGUAACACGUAGUCAACCUAACCUAUGGACGGGAAUAACCUCGGGAAACUGAGAAUAAUGCCCGAUAGAACACUAUACCUGGAAUGGUUUGUGUUCCAAAUGAUUUAUCGCCAUAGGAUGGGACUGCGGCCUAUCAGUUUGUUGGUGAGGUAAUGGCCCACCAAGACUAUUACAGGUACGGGCUCUGAGAGGGGUAGCCCGGAGAUGGGUACUGAGACACGGACCCAGGCCCUAUGGGGCGCAGCAGGCGAGAAAACUUUGCAAUGUGCGAAAGCACGACAAGGUUAAUCCGAGUGAUUUGUGCUAAACGAAUCUUUUGUUAGUCCUAGAAACACUAACGAAUAAGGGGUGGGCAAGUUCUGGUGUCAGCCGCCGCGGUAAAACCAGCACCUCAAGUGGUCAGGAUGAUUAUUGGGCCUAAAGCAUCCGUAGCCGGCUCUGUAAGUUUUCGGUUAAAUCUGUACGCUCAACGUACAGGCUGCCGGGAAUACUGCAGAACUAGGGAGUGGGAGAGGUAGACGGUACUCGGUAGGAAGUGGUAAAAUGCUUUGAUCUAUCGAUGACCACCUGUGGCGAAGGCGGUCUACCAGAACACGUCCGACGGUGAGGGAUGAAAGCUGGGGGAGCAAACCGGAUUAGAUACCCGGGUAGUCCCAGCUGUAAACUAUGCAAACUCAGUGAUGCAUUGGCUUGUGGCCAAUGCAGUGCUGCAGGGAAGCCGUUAAGUUUGCCGCCUGGGAAGUACGUACGCAAGUAUGAAACUUAAAGGAAUUGGCGGGGGAGCACCACAAGGGGUGAAGCCUGCGGUUCAAUUGGACUCAACGCCGGU